UUUGAAGCUCUGCAAUUUUAGGAUCUGGACCAAUUCAUGUUUCUAGAGCUGUUCUGCCUUUCUGAAGUGGUUGCUUGGCAUUAACUGCAGGUGCCUGAUCCUCAUCCACGUGCAGGUCAGGAGGGUCUCAAAAGCACCAAAAGUUUUACCUGCAGAGUCCCAGCAGUGCUGUCUCCAUCAGCGUGUGUGGCUUUAAGGACUGAUCGACCUAUUGCAUGUGUUUGCAAUAAAGAAGUAGGAAGAUUUCUGAAGCAGUUGAAAUGAGAGCACCA